GCUUCCUUGUCGUGUGGCCUCAGUCCUUCGCCGUCCCUCGCCGUCCUUCGCCAUCGCACGCCACCGCACCCCAUCUCUCGAAAUCUGCAGACAUCUUGAUUUUUCCCACGCUGUCUGUCAGGUCUCCGCCGCCACUCGACGCCAGGGCGCCGGGCCUUGUGGGCUGUGCUGCACCUCGGACGGCUUCGCACCAGCCAGCGCCCUCUCUCUCCUGCAGCACUCUGAUCUGCACCCCCUGAGGGGCUUCCACUGUCCGCGGGGUGAGAAUGCCCCUGGGAGUGUCACAUGACUGCCGCCCCAUGUGUGUGAGAGGCGUCCUCUGGGAGAGCAUGGAUCCUGAGGUCCCAGGAACAUCCCGAGAGCCAAGUUCCCAGAUGCCAGCCAAGGGCCAUCUGACCUGUUUUGAAUCUCAAUUUCCUGAUACAGAAAACAAAGGAUUGUCAGCUGACCUCUGUCCUGUGUGCCCAGUGGCCCCAGGUGACGUGUCUUCAAGAAGAGGCUGAGCUGCGGUGCUUGUAAGGGUCUCAUUCUGUCACCCAGGCUGGAGUGCAGUGGUGCAAUGAUGGCUCACUGCAGCCUCGACCUGGGCUCAAGUGAUCCUCCACCUCAGCUUCCUGAGUAGCUGGGACCACAGGUCUCAGCCUUAGAUCCAAGGACAGUCCAAGGAAGUCCUAAGACCAUGGAGUUGGUGAUCUGGGAUCUGGGUUUGCUGAUAUUUCUCACCGUGAAUCUCUUGGUGGUGUUUGUGGGCACGAGAGGGGCAGAGAAUGGAGAGUGAGGCUACCACAUGAAGCGUCACCAGAGCUGCUCCCUGCUGCCUGCUCAGAGCACCCCGGAUCCACUGUUCAAUCUGCACAAGAUUCGGGGUCCAGACAUGGGAGACUUCAGCUGCCUCAGAGGACCGUGGACAGGGAAGGCCAGCCUCGCAUCCCUCUGUCCAUGCCUGGAAUGACUUUAAUAACCAAGAGUUUUAUUUUUGAAUUUGUAGCUGUCGUUCACUUUUUACCCACCCAUUCAAUAAACCUUACAGAAUU
rnacentral:lncRNA from 1 species